rnacentral:rRNA from 1 species
GACGAGCGCUGGCGGCGUGCCUAAUACAUGCAAGUUGAGCGCUGAAGGUUGGUACUUGUACCAACUGGAUGAGCAGCGAACGGGUGAGUAACGCGUGGGGAAUCUGCCUUUGAGCGGGGGACAACAUUUGGAAACGAAUGCUAAUACCGCAUAAAAACUUUAAACACAAGUUUUAAGUUUGAAAGAUGCAAUUGCAUCACUCAAAGAUGAUCCCGCGUUGUAUUAGCUAGUUGGUGAGGUAAAGGCUCACCAAGGCGAUGAUACAUAGCCGACCUGAGAGGGUGAUCAGCCAGAUUGGGACUGAGACACGGCCCAAACGCCUACGGGAGGCAGCAGUAGGGAAUCUUCGGCAAUGGACGAAAGUCUGACCGAGCAACGCCGCGUGAGUGAAGAAGGUUUUCGGAUCGUAAAACUCUGUUGGUAGAGAAGAACGUUGGUGAGAGUGGAAAGCUCAUCAAGUGACGGUAACUACCCAGAAAGGGACGGCUAACUACGUG